AACAAAAAUGCCCGAAAUUACACAGAAAUGGAAGAGGUGGCUACAAAUCAGACAGAUGGAAUGGACUGGUCUAGCUCGGAUGAAAGAAGAUAAUGAAUUUUUGGACAAGUUCAAAAGAAGAGUAACACGUGAAGCAUGAAGCCUGGGCCUAGGAUGAAACACAGCGAGAAAAGAGGGACUGAAGAUGUAUUGAUUAAUCACGAGAAUGAAUAACAUAAAUGAUGUAAUGUUUACCUAAUCAUAUAAAUAAUAGGACCUCUGUAAAGCUUGAUGGUCAUUCACUAGGAGUGACCCAAGCUCUGUAUGCAUGUUUCACCUGAGCACUGAGCUUGUUAAUAAAGUCAACCCUGGAGUACCCAUGA